UACAGAGGUCCCGAGCGUUGUUCGGAUUCACUGGGCGUAAAGCGUGCGCAGGCGGCGCGUUAAGACAGGUGUGAAAGCCCCGAGCUUAACUUGGGAAUUGCGCUUGUGACUGGCGUGCUGGAGUGUGGCAGAGGGAGGUGGAAUUCCACGUGUAGCAGUGAAAUGCGUAGAGAUGUGGAGGAACACCGAUGGCGAAGGCAGCCUCCUGGGCCAGCACUGACGCUCAUGCACGAAAGCGUGGGGAGCAAACAGG
rnacentral:rRNA from 1 species